AGAGUUUGAUCCUGGCUCAGGAUGAACGUUAGCGGCAGGCUUAACACAUGCAAGUCGAGGGGCAGCGGGAUGUAGCAAUACAUUGCCGGCGACCGGCGCAAGGGUGCGUAACGCGUGAGUAACAUGCCCGUAUCAGGAGGAUAACCCGGAGAAAUCCGGACUAAUACUGCAUAAUAUUAUUAAGAGGCAUCUUUUAAUAAUUAAAACUUUGGUGGAUACGGAUUGGCUCGCGUGACAUUAGCUAGAUGGUAAGGUAACGGCUUACCAUGGCGACGAUGUCUAGGGGUUCUGAGAGGAAGGUCCCCCACACUGGAACUGAGACACGGUCCAGACUCCUACGGGAGGCAGCAGUGAGGAAUAUUGGACAAUGGAUGGAAAUCUGAUCCAGCCAUGCCGCGUGAAGGAAUACGGUCCUAUGGAUUUUAAACUUCUUUUGUAUGGGAGCAAUAAGCCAAUAUGUAUAUUGUGAUGAGAGUACCAUACGAAUAAGCAUCGGCUAACUCCGUGCCAGCAGCCGCGGU
rnacentral:rRNA from 1 species